UUGAAGCAAUGGUUUCCGUACGAUUACCGAAGUUAAGCAACGUCGAGCCUGGUCAGUACCUGCUUGGGUGACCACUUGGCAAUACCAAGUUUUGUAA